rnacentral:rRNA from 1 species
AAGCAUCGCUGGCGGCGUGCCUCAGACAUGCAAGUCGAACGAUUAAGACUCCCUUCGUGGAGUGUAUAAAGUGGCUCACGGGUGAGUAACACGUAGGUAAUGUCCCGUAGGGAGGGGACUAACUUAGGGACACUUAAGCUAAUACCGCAUAAUGCAGCCGCCCGACAUCGAGACAGUUGUUAAGGAACCAAUCCGCCUUAUGAGCAGCCUGCGGCAGAUUAGCUUGUUGGUAAGGUAAUGGCUUACCAAGGCUACGAUCUGUAACCGACCUGAGAGGGUGGUCGGUCACACUGACACUGAAUAACGGGUCAGACUCCUACGGGAGGCAGCAGUCGGGAAUUUUGGGCAAUGGGCGAAAGCCUGACCCAGCAACGCCGCGUGAAGGACGAAGUCUUUCGGGAUGUAAACUUCGUAAGAAUAGGAAGAAUAAAUGACGGUACUAUUUGUAAGGUCCGGCUAACUACGUGCCAGCCGCCGCAGUAAAAC